rnacentral:rRNA from 1 species
UCAAAAAAUUCUUUUUUGAUUUAAAAAUUGAAGUUAUUUUUAUUUGUGAAGAAACAACAAUAAAAAUUAAAGACAAGAAGACCCUAUGAAUUUUUUUAAAAAACAAUUUAAUAUUAUAAUUGGGUCUUAAUUAAUUGGGGCGAUUAAAAAAAAUUAUAAACUUUUUAUAAAAAUAAAAUGAUCCACAAAUUGUGAUUUUAUAAAAUAAAUACUCUAGGGAUAACAGCGUAUUAAUUUUAAAUAAAUCAUAUAAAAAAAAUAGUUUGCAACCUCAAUGUUGAAUUAGGAUACUUUUUUAAUGAAAAAGUUAAAAAAAAAAGUUUGUUCAACUUUUAAUAUCCUACAUAAUCUGAGUUCAAAC